UCGAGAAUCAUUCACAAUGGGGGAAACCCUGAUGGUGCGACGCCGCGUGGGGGAAUGAAGGUCUUCGGAUUGUAAACCCCUGUCAUGUGGGAGCAAAUUAAAAAGAUAGUACCACAAGAGGAAGAGACGGCUAACUCUGUGCCAGCAGCCGCGGUAAUACAGAGGUCUCAAGCGUUGUUCGGAAUCACUGGGCGUAAAGCGUGCGUAGGCGGUUUCGUAAGUCGUGUGUGAAAGGCGGGGGCUCAACCCCCGGACUGCACAUGAUACUGCGAGACUAGAGUAAUGGAGGAGGAACCGGAAUUCUCGGUGUAGCAGUGAAAUGCGUAGAUAUCGAGAGGAACACUCGUGGCGAAGGCGGGUUCCUGGACAUUAACUGACGCUGAGGCACGAAGGCCAGGGGAGCGAAAGGG
rnacentral:rRNA from 1 species